rnacentral:tRNA from 2 species
GCCGCCGUGGUGGAAUGGCAGACACAAGGGACUUAAAAUCCCUCGGGGAAACCCAUGUCGGUUCGACUCCGACCGGCGGCA